GAGAUGGCGGCCCCAGGAGGCUGCAGGUUGCCGAUGGCCUGGAGGAGGGAAGGGCCGAGAUGGCGACCCCAGGAGGAUGCAGGUGCUCUCUGGGCUGCUGAGGGCGGGCUGUGCCCUCUGGACUCCACACCACUUCAGCUUCACUGUGGCGCCAGCCUCUGUGCUGCCCAGCUGGCUUUGUAAAAUGCAGGACUGAAGAACAUUUGAAAAUGCAGU